rnacentral:rRNA from 1 species
GUGGGGAAUAUUGGACAAUGGGCGAAAGCCUGAUCCAGCCAUGCCGCGUGAGUGAUGAAGGCCUUAGGGUUGUAAAGCUCUUUCAGUAGGGAAGAUAAUGACGGUACCUACAGAAGAAGCCCCGGCUAACUUCGUGCCAGCAGCCGCGGUAAUACGAAGGGGGCUAGCGUUGUUCGGAUUUACUGGGCGUAAAGCGCACGUAGGCGGAUUGGUCAGUUAGGGGUGAAAUCCCAGAGCUCAACUCUGGAACUGCCCUUAAUACUGCCAAUCUAGAGUCCGGAAGAGGUGAGUGGAACUCCUAGUGUAGAGGUGGAAUUCGUAGAUAUUAGGAAGAACACCAGUGGCGAAGGCGGCUCACUGGUCCGGUACUGACGCUGAGGUGCGAAAGCGUGGGGAGCAAACAGGAUUAGAAACCCCAGUAGUCC